rnacentral:tRNA from 1 species
GAAGGUGUAGCUCAAGUGAUAGAGUGUGUGCUUGGUAUGCAAGAGGUCCUGGGUUCAGUUCCCAGUGCCACCU